GAAACGGUAAUUUAUAAGCGCUUUCUUCCUGACCUCUCGUGUCUGUUCUCUAAUGAGCGAGCGCUGAGCAUCACCCAUCCUGCAGGGAUGGAGAACUGAUGCUCAUCCACCACCAUUACCAUGCUGGCUUUAGCUGGUGGGAACUGAAGUUCAACAAUAUCUGGAAGGCCAGCAGCAGGAGAGAUUUCUAGCUUAAUGGACAAGCUCAUGAUUGCUGAUGAACUGCUCUUUGCUGCUGUAGGAUGUAUAACUGCAUCAGUCUGGAUUACAUGACCAUUGAACUUCUUUUCUGUGCAUGCAGAAAAAGGCAGGGAUAGAGGUCCCUUCUUUUUUGUAUUAUGCAUGAGAACGCAGAAUGUUGCCUUUGAAAAAGGCACUCUGAGCAACUGUCAAUUAGAAGAGAGGUAGCUGCAUUCAGUCCUAAAGCCAUCCAGAAGUGUGAACUAUCACUUAAGUGUCAGUGCUAAUGCAUCCUUAGAAAUCAUUUUAAGGAAAUGCAUUUCCCUGAAAACUACAUAAACUUUCAUGUGUUGGAGUGAGAAUUCAUUUUGCCCAUUUGUGUUUGUGUUUUAAUGGAGGGUUCCAUCCUUGGCUGUUUAUACCACAGUAAAUCUUCCUUCUGUUAAGCACCUGCAGUGCUACAUAGCAAAAGGCUUGAGGCACUAGUUCAAACAUGCAUCUGCUGAGAAAUGUCUUUGGAAAGCAAUGGUACCAGCUUCUCUUUUUUCUUUUCGAUAAGCUACAGUAUGCUUUUCAUAAUUUCCCUACAUUUUCCAUGAAUGCAAGUUUGUACCAGUCUUCUGUCCCUUCUGAGAUGUAAAUGUAAUCACAGGGCUCUGAAGAGAAAAGUUGCACUAUAUGUGAGAACGAAGGAUUUCCUAAGAGACCAGGAAAGAAUGACAGAGAUCCUCUGUUUGCUUAGCAGGGCAGGAGGACAGGUGCAGAAGCAAGAUUCAAAGUGCCUGAGCAGAGUUAACUGUGUAGCCCAACCCCAGGUCCUUCAUCAAGGACACUAUAAAUUAAAAAGUUACAAAAAACAUUUGUUUAAAAUAAAGGAGUAUAAAUACAUUAAAUGUAUGGAUCCAUACUGUAAAUGUUUUACUUUAAGAGACACUGUGCACUUAUACAAAUGCUUUUUAUAGAUAUGUAGUGCUCUUGAUAAAGGACCUAGAACGUAGAAUGUAUUAGACUGCAGAGAAAGCUUCUCAAGCAUUUUGAGAUUUACCUCCCUGAUUUACUAUUUGCAUUUGCACAUGGAUCACAAUCCACUCCAACAGAUGAGCAGAGCACAGUCCUGAAAAAGGAGCACUAUAUGUACAUUCCAUGAUUUUGGGAGAGAAAGAAAAGAGAGAUGAGGUGGAACUUGCUUAUAGAUAGUGACUAUAACAAAAUGGUAAGUAAACGUGAUCCAUAUAUUCUUGCAUAUGAUCUAUAUAUUCUUGCAUUAAUGGAAUGAUUAACACAUGCCAUACAAUUCAAAAACAUGGUCUCUCUUCAGUCCAUCAGAAAUGAUGUUAAAUUUCCUUAUGUAUUCUGGUUCAGCUGUCUUACAAUGAAAUUGGUCUUUGUAACUCUUUCUCCCAAGAAUAGCUACCUUGAGGUCAGUAGCACAAUGUCCUGACAAAUGGAAAUCUCAUCUUACAGAUUUUUUGAUAUUGUUAUAUGUGAUGUCAAAUUUCUAUCCAUUUAUUCUUACAUGUUAAUAUAUUUAUUAGUCUUUAAGGUGCCAUAAAACUCUUUUGCU